CAACCAUGCCUGCAUAUCAGGGCAGCAUUCUAUGAUCCCAUGGCUCUCACAUCGACAGACCACAACACUAAGCCAACAAUGAUACGGCGUCCACCAGCAGUUGUUUGCUACAUUUGUGGUCGUGAAUAUGGAACAAAAUCUAUUAGCAUUCAUGAGCCACAAUGUCUGAAAAAAUGGCAUAAUGAAAACAACUUGUUGCCUAAAGAGUUAAGGAGACCAGUACCUAAAAAACCAGAAGUCAGGACCAUUACUGACAAAUAAGAAAAACAGUUCUGAAAUGCCUGUCCAAAGAAUUAUCUUCUGAUGCUGAGACAUAAAGACACUAUGUCCUGGCAACACUGUGCAUGAGAGGGACCUAUGGGAAUUUGCUGUAUUCUCCAAAAGUUUCUUUCAUACAUCAUCAAACCCUUUGAAUGUAAAAUAAAUAAUAAAAUACUUAAAAAAUAAAAAUGAA
rnacentral:lncRNA from 1 species